rnacentral:lncRNA from 1 species
AACCAAAGAAGAAAAUGCCACGAACAAGGCAGGCAGUGGCACCCUUCUCUUCUUACAUUUCCACGUUGAUACUUGACAUUCGUGGCGAUGUUUUAUUUGUUUAUUUAAAAUUGUUAAGUAUUAAACUUGAUAAAUGAAAUUAAAAAUUUAUCAUUUUAUCUGUUUAUCAAGAUCACAUAACUUUUGGUUAACGUGUUUUUAUCAUAUUGUACUGUAUAUUGAGGGAUUAGUAUGAACUCCAUGUAUAGUUGUUAAGGACUAGUUCAUGGAAAAACAAUUGUUUCUUAUGUAACCUUAGCCAGCUAGCCUUGUUUGUUUCCCAUGGCUCCAGCGACUGGACAGGUCAAUACAAAUAUUAUUAACGACUUUGCUUGACUAUCUAACCAUGCAUGGAAAAUAUAAUUAAUGAGAAAACGAUCAUAGUUAGUCCUCCAAAUUUGACUAUGGUGCUUACGUAUAAAAUUUGAAUCGGCUCAAGUUUAUUCCGAAGUCAAAUGAUCAGGUAAGUAGAAUUGUAAGGCGAAGACUUUCACGCUUAUCCAAUCCGAUUGAGUCUAGCGCAAUGAAAGAAUAAAGAGUAAUAUUGCAUCCACUUUUGUCUUUUUGACGACCCUCACAAAUAUUCUUGUAGCUAGGUUAAACUUACCACCAAGUAUUUCGGUCGCACCACUUGAAGCCAAUCCAAUUGAGUUUUGGUAUCAGAAUUCAUUUUUUUAGGCCAAAAUCAUUUAAUUAAUUCGAUGAUAGUCAAGAGACUCAUGUAAAACAUCAAAUAUGUCAUACACGAUCCAAAAGUGAUAAAGCACAAAAUAACAUCUGACUGUAAAAAUCAAAUCGCUAUUAAUCAGUGCACACAAAAGCUCUUUACCCCCUAAAUUUUCAGAUCCAACCACAAAUCAACCAUUUCGUAUACUUCCAUCGGAGCCAAUAAAAAUCUGAUUCAUCACUCACAGUAAGAUAAAACCAAAAACACAACUAAAUUGAGAAACACACGCCAAGAGAUACCAAGCUCAUUGGAACACAACUACAAUACAACAGAAUAGCCAUCAAGACAUUAGAGAAGGCUAGAUAGCACCAGCCAUCCAUGAAAAACACUUCCUUGUGCACACUAGCCUUACUCAAAUCAUCACCGAAUCAAGGAGAUUCUGUCCAAUCACACCAUCCUUAACAACUCAAAUAGAUUUCUUGAAAAGAGAGACAAGUCAUAAAUCCUUACAUCCCAAGUAUACAGCACCGAUGAAACUUAUGGGUGCUUUAGAUUUUUAGUCACCAUAUCUUUCAAUCUAUCAAUAACAAUAGCAUCCUCGCAAUUCGCAAAGAAAACCAAAAUUUUUCCUAAAUCCCCAAGUGGCUUGCGCUUCUUCCGUAAUUGAAGUGGAUUCUGAAAAUCAUCAUUUGAUAGGGAUUCAUUUGCAUACUUAAUUCCUUUAUUCUUGACUCCUCUUAACUGUAUUUUCUUUGUUUUUCUUCCUCUCUUUUUAUCUUUUAGUAUAGGGUUAAUAGUUUCUAUAGCUCUUAAAUUUUGAUUUAAAUUUUAUUUUAAUUUUUAAUUUUUAAAAAAUUUUAAUUACAUUUUUAAUUGUUUAAAAUUAUCUUAUUUUUAUUCUUUCAUCCAUAAAACUAUCUAAAUUAACUAAAAAUAUCAAGUGGCGCCACGUGAUGAUGUGAGUUCGCAUCUCAUGUGGUAGAAGAUGAACCAAAAUAAAAUUUUUUCAAAAUUUAGGGACUAAUGAUAAAACUAUUUUAAAAUUUUAUAUAUUUCAUAUAUAUUAUAUAAAAUAUUAACUUUAAAAUUAUAUUUUUUAUUUUUUUGUAAUAUAAUUUAUUAGUUUUUUUUAGUAGAAAUUAUAUUUUCAAAAAUGAAAAUUAG